UACGUAGGGUGCAAGCGUUAAUCGGAAUUACUGGGCGUAAAGCGUGCGCAGGCGGUUUUGUAAGUUUGUCGUGAAAUCCCCGGGCUUAACCUGGGAAUGGCGUCUGAAACUACGGAGCUGGAGUGUGGCAGAGGGAGGUAGAAUUCCACGUGUAGCGGUGAAAUGCGUAGAUAUGUGGAGGAAUACCGAUGGCGAAGGCAGCCUCCUGGGCCAACACUGACGCUCAUGCACGAAAGCGUGGGGAGCAAACAGG
rnacentral:rRNA from 1 species